GGCGCCACGAGGGGCGCCGGGCAGGGCUCUGCUGCCCACGUUCCUGCGCGCCCGCGGGGACGCCGGGCGCGGGCUUCCGAGGCUCCGGGGGCCUGGGCGCACAAACCCAAGUUUUCAGUUUCCCCCUGUCAACCGUGGUCCGGAAGCAGAUGAUUCUCCUUUUGAGGUACCACCAGAAAGUCAGUAGUAGCCUAGUGCUACGUCAUAAUGCCUGUGUCAUUCACCUAAUGUCAUCUCAUUACGUAGGCAUUUUAUCCUCUUACAUCAUCAAAAGAAGAAGGAGCUUACAAGUGUGUCCUAUUUAAAAGGAACCCAAGAUGCCAGAAUGCUCACCUAGAUACUUGGAAAUGCAGCCACAUCUUGAUCAGCUCCCCUGAUGUGCCCUUGGAACUGAAGGAUGUAGGCGUCCUGGAUUCAACUUGCUCUCCCAGGCCUCCAGGAGGCACUAAGAUUCACGAUCCACCUCCAUGGCACUUCUUCUUUGAAGCCCUCCCUGAGGCCUCCCCACCACAGGUCGACUUGUUCCCUACUGCAGUUUCUGUCAUACUCUAUUGCAAAUGUUAAUUUACAAGGCUAGGAAGAGAUGAGCUCUGAGGACGAGGCCAUGUUGGCUUCAUCUCUAUCUCUCUAGUGGCCUGCAGAAGUCCUGCACACAGCAGCAUUCAAACAUAUUUGUUCAAUGAACAAACAAUGACCAAUAGCUAUUAAUUUUAUUCUAAACCAGGCUAUUAGGUCAAUAGUUAUAAGCCAACCCAUGAAAUAAACAAGUGGUUAUAUCUUUGACUCGUAAAAAGAAAUACUUACUUUCUGAUAGGUAUAAAAAUCCCAGAAUGAAUUUGUACAUCUUGGUAAUGUAUAGGGAAUUU